UACAGAGGGUGCAAGCGUUAUCCGGAAUGAUUGGGCGUAAAGCGCACGUAGGCGGCUCGUUAAGUCGGGGGUGAAAUCCUGGAGCUCAACUCCAGAACUGCCUUCGAUACUGGCGAUCUUGAGUCCGGAAGAGGUGAGUGGAACUCCUAGUGUAGAGGUGGAAUUCGUAGAUAUUAGGAAGAACACCAAUGGCGAAGGCAGCUUGCUGGGCCAAUCCUGACACUGAGGUACGAAAGCGUGGGGAGCGAACAGG
rnacentral:rRNA from 1 species